GAUGAACGCUGGCGGCGUGCCUAAUACAUGCAAGUCGAGCGAACAGACGAGGAGCUUGCUCCUCUGACGUUAGCGGCGGACGGGUGAGUAACACGUGGAUAACCUACCUAUAAGACUGGGAUAACUUCGGGAAAACGGAGCCUAUUCCGGAUAAUAUAUUUAAACGCAUGGUUCAAUAGUGAAAGACGGUUUUGCUGUUACUUUUAGAUUGAACCGCGGCGCAUUAGCCAGUUGGUAAGGUAACGGCUUACCAAGGCAACGAUGCGUAGCCGACCUGAGAGGGUGAUCGGCCACACUGGAACUGAGACACGGUCCAGACUCCUACGGGAGGCAGCAGUAGGGAAUCUUCCGCAAUGGGCGAAAGCCUGACGGAGCAACGCCGCGUGAGUGAUGAAGGUCUUCGGAUCGUAAAACUCUGUUAUUAGGGAAGAACAAAUGUGUAAGUAACUAUGCACGUCUUGACGGUACCUAAUCAGAAAGCCACGGCUAACUACGUG
rnacentral:rRNA from 1 species